UUACAAAACUCCGGAAAUACACUCUUGGAACCAGAGGUGACAAUUCACUGAAUGAGGAUUACCCCAACCAGCCACAGCGGGAAAUCCUUGGAGAAGGUGUGCGCUGAUUGGAUCAGAGACCCGAAGGGAAAGAAUCCCAGCUUGAAGAACCAGUUUGAAUGUCAAGACUCCAAGAAUCACUGCAAGAAAAACAGCCUUGUGGUGAAGAUUCUAGGAUUUAGGAUCAUUUCCAGAUGAGAAUCCACAAAUGACUCACACAGUCUUUCUGAGGUUGUUAAACAGAUUGCUUCCAUCAGUAUUGAGUCAGGAAUUGAG
rnacentral:lncRNA from 1 species